UGACUCCGUAGCUCGCCUCGUCGAAGCCAACCAGCGAGGACGCCGAGUUGGACGCCGAUCCGUCAUACACUUUCCCCUCUGCCAUUAGAUCCGUCAGGACCCGAUGCGUCAAUGCCGGUAAUGUGCGUAAGGAUGAAAUACGGACAGCCAGCUGGGUACCGUGGUGUCGUGGUGGUGAUGGCGGUGAUGGGAGUGUGCUGCUGGCGGCCAGUAUCCUGUCUCUGACCCGAGGGAAUGAGAUUCGCUCACCCCAUCCUUCCCGACAGAGGUCCCACAGUGCUGGCUCAGCACCAAACCACCCUGUCUUCAGCGGCAAGGUCAAUUACCAUGCCCUCUGCAGGUCAAUUAUGCCACCAGAAGCAAUGAUUUGACUACUGCCACCACGGAAAAAGUUCCAAAUCAAGCAACAACCUCACACAGUUUUGCUCCAUGGGUGGUAAUGCGUAUUUAAUGUUUUGUGUAGUUGUUUUCAUUUUUUGACCUACUGUGUUUACCUCAGCCUAAAGUGCUGUGAAUGCAUACUGAUAUAAAUAGAUGCAGCAGAGUUGGCUGCUAAAACCUCCCAGGCUCGGGUAUCUCCCUGUAGGAUAAGGAGGGUUCCCUCUAUGUUUAUAUUAGGUUUCCUACAUGACAGACACAGGCUUGGAUCUGAACUUUCACACUCUCUGAUAACAGACAACCAAUGCAGACUGGCUGUACCGUAUGUGUUGCUUUAAAUAAGUAACAUUUGCAGUAUGUGGGUAUUGCUUAAACCUCUGAUAAAGUAGGAAAAGUCUGUCCGUGUCAGAAGCGUUUCAAAUCCAUGACAACCCGCCUUGUAUAUACCGUGACCUGACACUGGGAAGAUAAACAGAAACUGAGUGGGGGUAGUGUGAAGUGAAAGCAGGGGCAGAGGGAGUGACUCUUUCUUUUUGCAUAACCCAUGAAGCAUAGGAAAUGCAAAUCGGCUGUCUAUAAAAUACCAAUAAAGUGGGUGAUUGUCCCAUAAAGUGUGCUGCUUGCAAACCCAGUGUGGUCGUGUCUGUGAUCCGUCCUUGCCCUUUUUCUUAGGUAACUACAUGAAUAUUUAUCACCCUCCAAUUUACACAGCAUGGUGCAUUAAUUUACAAGUUAAUUAAAGGGCCAGUCGAACCUGAUUUACAAGGCUUUGAAUUGGCCCUCUCAUCGUCUCCUGUUAUGAACCCAUUAGGUCUUUAUAGGUUUAUUUAUUUAGGGAUGGAUAGGGGUGUGUUUGGAGGGCGCAUCCUGUCAAAACAGAUCGGUCUUUCUCACUCUCUGGAUUCUCUUUCCUAUCGUAGUGCAAGCAAUGCUCAUGCUAUAAUUUUAAGUGUGAGAAAACAAUCGAAAAUGGUUAAAUAAACAAAGUAUAAUUGAUUGUCUAAAUUCCCCAGAAGCCCGCAGCUUUGAGGACCUAAUCUCGUUUAGCCUCUUCAGGCUGGCCCUCAAAUACAAACAGCCUCGGUUGCUCCAUUUGCUGAGUCACAAGCACAUAAUGUCUCAGUCACCCACUGCACUGUCACUGUGUGCAACGAUUAGUUUCAUAAGCCUUCAUAAAGCAGAUUAGAAAAGCUGAUCUGAUGAGAUAAGAUUAAGGACAAGCAGGCGGGGGGUAAAGCUUAGGCUCAGUCAUACUCCGCUCCCUGCCACGUAAGGCCCCAUCAAAUGAACAGCACAAACAUGUAUUGUUGGCAUCCAAACAUCACAAACACUCCUCACACAGCCUCUGCCUCGUCUCAUUAGUCAAAGACAAAACAGAUUAUAACCCAAGUCUGGGGUGUGUGAUUCAUAUUGUUGUGGCAGAGUUGUUUUGAUGAUUUUCUUAUUUAUUGUCUGGAGUUUUUUGUUUUUUUUUUUUUUUUUGUCAGGACAGUUGUGUCAGAGACUUAAUUGGAUAUGGUGGAUAGCUUAGUCAGUUGACUAAUGUUCUGUUCAGGAUCUCGGAAACAAUAGGCCCUCUUUAACAGCCUAAAAAACAUACUUAACGUGUCAUUAUCGUGACACUCAGUGACUCUUACUCAUUUUAUGAGAAUUGUUUAUAAACCUGAUUUUGAACAGAUGACAUCUCAGAUGUCUGCUAUAGAAAAUGACUUAGGCAGAUAUUCCAGCUGUAAAACAUGGAUAAAUACAGUGGAUUUUCAUAUUUCAUCUUACUUUUUAUGUCAAACUACCUCUCCCAAAUCCUAAAUACUGUAAGUCUAAAUAAGUUCUUUUUUUGUUUGUUUGGUUUUAAGAUGUCUAACAGAGAGACGUUUAUUUUUUUGUAUUCUAACAGAUCCCCAAAAAUAAGUAUAUCAUUAUGUAAGUUAACAUACUGUACAUUUCCUUGUCCAUGCAUGACUUUCAGCAAAUAAAAUCAAUACAUAU